rnacentral:tRNA from 1 species
GCCUGGAUGGCUCAGUUGGUUGAGCGUUUGACUUUGGCUCAGGUCACGAUCUUGGCAGUUUGUGAGUUCAAGCCCUGCAUCAGGCU